AUUGCAGGAGCUGUCUCAUACCGGGCUGAUGGGAAGAGCCAUACUGAGUCAGCCUCAAGAACUGGUCAGUCUGGUGUUCCAUAAAGCACUUUCUUGGGCUGCAGUGCUGAGAGAUGGCUUGUCAAAGGCCCGGCUCAUACUAGAGCCAGCGUGCGUGAGAGAGCAGCAUAAAAGUCACGAUCAGGUGGGACCCACAUGCUGUACGAGCAGGAGGAAUGGGCUGAUCUGUUGUGACAAGCUCUGCCCCAAGGACCCUGCAGAACAGCCAGCUCCUAUCUGGGCCGAUCCCUAUUGUGCUGUAUCAAAGCCCUGAAGAAAGUCAAUAAAGCUGAAAGGAGGAGGGUGAAAGGCAAGGUAUUCCCCUGCAACAGGCCAUGCCAUUAUUAGUAUUAACAGAGGGGAUAUUAUAGAAGAAUCAGGAGGCUUACGCAGUUUGGCAAGCUUCCUCUAUUCACAUGGCCAGGAGGCAUAACCAUGACACCGCUGGUAAUUUCUCAAACUCAAUCUGAAAGCAAAGACAAUGUGCUCAGUGACCUACAGCAGCCUCGCAGCUUUCGGUAAAUCCUCAAACUCUGGCUCAAUGAUAUCCGGAAUAAAGGCGGCCUGGAGGAGAAGUGGGGGAAACAACGCAGCUGCUUUUCUUGCCAGCUCCAGACAACUCCAGAUGUGUGUCUUUCCCACCAGUAUCUGAAGACAUUUGGCUCUGGAGACGGGGGAUCUGCGUGCCAGCAUGCUGCCUGCCGGGGCUGCCAACCCCAGGGGCUGCGUUCCUGCUGCCGCGCUCUCGCCCCUGGCUGUCCUGACCGACACACUGCUGGAUGGAGGGACGGAGUGCUGGCCCCGAGUCUAAUCUGUCAUCAGCUGAGAGGCCGCUGACUCCUGCCGCGUGUGAACCGGAGCUGCUCGGCCUGAUCCUCUCCCCCGGGCCGGAGCAAGGCAGUGCCAGAGGGAGGACCUGUUUUCAAUGAUGGCUGGGAGUCAAGAAGGGUAAUUCUCAAAGGUGUGUGAAGAAGAAAUCGGAUCUACACUUCAUCUUCUUCACCUCUGCUGUGCCUGCCUGAUGCCCCCAUUCCAGCCCACCAGUACAGAUGGCCCGGUACAGCCACUGCAGCAAGGACGCAGUGCAGUGGUGCAUGCAGGGCACACAAUGUGGGCUUGUUUGGGUUUCUGGGUUUCCGGCUGUGAUUACAGAGGGUUUUGAUUUUUGUUCCUUGGUUUUCUGAAUUAUUUGCUCAGGCUGUCCUAAGAGCUCUGCUCCAUGUAAAUGAGAGCUCGCACGUACUCAUGUUUAUAAGCUCAACAGCUCCAUCAGUUUCAUUUUUAUUCUGUCAGAGUUUUCUGUAUGUCGUGUCUGUUUCACUUAGUACUGCUAGUGUCUCACCUGUCUGUCUUAGACCUUGGGACACUAUAACUACAUUGAGAUUUCUCUGAUUCUUCAUUUUCUACUUCCCUUUAGUAAGUCAUAACUAUUACUGUUCUCCAAACACAUGAAGAACUUGAAGAUAGAGCUUGAAGUUCAGAGCAAUCCCUUAACUUUGUGACCGAAACUCGGUGUAGUUUACUGAAAAAUGCUCCCCAAAAUUUUCUGCUUCCUUGGGAUAAGGAGGAAAAAGGAAAGAGAACACAGUGAUGAGUGAUUUCUUUACAACUUCUUUUAGCUAGCUAGUUCUACAAUAGUAAUCAUUCUCUCUUUAAAAGAAAAAGGUCCCAUCCCUGACAGAAAAGCAUUUGCAAGAGUAGCUGUGUGAUGUCCACGCUGCCUGUCACCCCAUAGGUUCCACAAACAGACCAGGAAAUGAGAAGGAGGAAGAGUUGGAGAGUGCUUGUACAAAUACUCUGCAGGGGGGCAGUAAGAGCAAAGCCAGGACGGUGGAAAGGAAAAUGUCAGAAGUUAAUCCCAGGUGUAAUACAUCGGAGGCCAGAUGCAUAUUGUGAGAGGUGUCGUUCAUGUAAUAUUUAUGUGUUUUGUUUCCCCUCUGUGAACUUUACGGUAGGCCUUAGCCAGUGAAUGCUGCACUCUCCAUAAAUGCCUAGCACGGCCUGUUGUUGCCUUUCCAAGUUUCUUAUUCAACAGCACAUUUUUUCCUUGUUUUUAAAUGCUUGCUGGAGUCUUAGACUAGGAGUUUUUAACCUAACAAUAAAACACCUGCAUUUUAUUAAGACUUGGGACUUGAGUUCCACCUCCCUCACUCUUACUGAAGUGUUGCCAUUAGUCAGGUUAACUCUUUCGUAGUCAGUUUUGCUCUGAAAGUGAAGUUAAUUGGCUACAUGUAGCUCAGUUCCACAAUCCCAUGCUGUGUUUGGAAGAGAGGAAAAUAGCUCUGAGGCAGACCCAGAGGACUCUGUUUUAGCAUCUAAACAGAUGUUAAGAUACUACAGCCAGCAGUAGCAGCCCCCACAUCUCGGUUCUAUUUUAGUUUUCCCUGGCCCCAUUGCAAGUUCCAUUCAGCCCUGAGGUCUGUGUAUCUAUCUACUCAGACCAGAAACCCCCUCUACAACAGGCCUGUCCAGUGCGGAUAGCCGAGGGGUGCAGAAGCCCUAAAUCACAGCUGCAAAGCCUUCACGCUUCCUAGCACGACAGUCCUGCAUCAACAUGUCCUCUGACAACAUGCAACUUAAUGCUAAAAUUUUCUUACCAGCCAUGCUCAUUUUAGGAGUGAGUUUUUUUGAGUUGUAUCACAGAAGCUUCAUUCAAACAUUGGAAAAAAAAAUACUAUUGUCCCUGUAACUUCCCUUUGCAUUCUCAUUCCACUGUCUUAAAUGAGAAUUGGAGCAGGACUAUACAGCGAUAUUUGUGCCUGAAGCUCCAAGUGUGUUAUUAUCCCUAUAUUAAAUUAGAGCAAUGGCAGCAUAUGGAUGUGAAGGAAUUGCCCAAAUUCAUGCAGCAGUUCAGUAGAAAGGCUGACAAGUUCAGUUGUCAAUGUACUAAGCAACUGCCCUGUUUGCUGUUUGAUGUAGCUUCUUAAUAAGCAAUUAUUUUCUAGGUCCCCUCCAUGCACAUCACAGAAGUACCACACUGCAACGAGCAACAACUGCUGGCAAUUUUACCAAAUACGAUCAGUUCACUGAAGACAGGAGAGAGUAAUUUAAUACACACAGCCAGGGACUGAGGAUCUGUAUACAAUGAGCUGAUUCCCUCUCUGUUGCUAUCUAUGUGCUUAUGGGCACGUAACUAUUUCUUUAUGACUCAGCUUCCCAUCUAUGCAAGAGAGAAAUUCUUUGCAUCCAGCAGGUGAAUCAAGAGGUCAUACACUUCUGAGGCUAUUCUGGGUUAGUCAUUCAUCUUAGGACUUUACUGGCACACAUAUACAUAUACAAUUGUACUAAUCUACAUCAGGCCUGCGUGGAGAGAACAAGUACAUCAAAAGUUCAGAGGUUUGGAGAUACCCAGAUGCUAUAGAGCCAUAGAUAUCCUAAGAUAAACAGGUAGGUAAAUAGAUAACUAUUGGUUGCUACCCAAAUACUUGUCAGGUAUAAUUAAUUCUAUAGGUAGCUAUUUAUUACAGAGUCUGAUAUAUCAGAUGCUAGUGUGAUUUAUACAUACCUAUAACAGUAGUAUAGGAAAUAUGAUAACAUACAGUGGUACUCAUAAAAGGAAAUGUUCAAAGUUGAUGUUGCUCUUGUAAACUAAUUAUUUCCACUCAUUUAUACUUACCAGUAUAUAAUUUCUAAACUGUGAGGAUACCAAUAAUCACUGAAAAUGGACUUAUAAGCCAACAUCGCAGCAGAGACAGUUUUAGGGACAAAACUAUGGCUGUUGCACAGAAUGUUAGAUGAUGUGGGGAUUCAGUAAUCUGGGAUAUGUAGCAGUGAAAGUCAUCUGGUGUGAGAGUAGCAGACCGCCCCCAUGGCUUGGUGUUAGCUCUGACCACAAACCAGGGAGUGUACACUUGUGUGCCCAUCGAGGAGCACAGUUCGCCUUGCCUGCCAUUUGGAAAGACAAAGGAUGAACUUUAGAAACAUAAUUUGGAGCAGAACUUUUCAUAUUUGGAUCACGACUCACACGAGUCUUACUUUUCCAUUCAGUGUAAAUAAGCACAUAUGAUUAUUUUGAAUUGCUUUACAAAAUAUAUGCAAACAGCAUUUCAAAAUCUCUCUUAAACCAAAUUGUAUAAGUCUCACAUUUGUUUGUGUUUGCACCCUUUAACUAGCGUUAGGAAGCUGUGAUUUACAUUGCUGGGUAAAUCACAUCUGCUCAUAAGCUGUGGUUUUAAAAACGUUGCACAUCUGUGGUAUCAAAUGUGUGCAAAUUAGAGAAUUACCUGACAUUACUAGUCACUUAAAUGCAAAUGUAAGCUUCAUUUUUUGUGCAGUAUUUGAAGUCAUGUUAUUAUGUACCAUAAACUGCAAUCACCUACUGUCUACUUAUACAGCAAUACAAAAAGGAAUUUAUUCCUUUGUAAUCAUUUUCAUAUAGCCAUAUAGUCAGGUACCCCAAUCAGGAAUGUAGGCUACAAACUGUCAGCUGCCCUGAUGCUUACUUAUGGUCAUUCUUUAUAGGUGGCCUGGUCACCACACUCAUUACUUUUGAGUAAAUAAAAUGUGGGAUUUGGUAUUCUGGAGUUGUGUUUCUUGGUAAAAGAGGUAUUUUCUUUGCAGCAAUCUGGACAAACAGUAUUUUUUCAGCUUUACUUUCUUCAUGUAUCUGUGGCUUCUUUUUGAAGCUGGUACCAGGUUGACCAGAGACAGCAUCUUUUAAUCCAAGAUCUAGACAUGGGGAAGUGGUAUAGUCAGUCUGUGACGUGCUCUAUUCCAGCACUGCAAAAGGGGUUGUUCCCUAUGACACGUUUGCUCUAUUCUUCUGCCUUGAGUGUCUCAAGAGAGAGAGCGUCAGCAAGAUUUUCCUUCUUCUAUUUCAUAGUCUUGUUCCUAUUUUAACAUCUUAUAAAUAUAAAUAUAUAUAUAUUUAUACAUUUAAAUAUAUUUAUAAGAAUGUUCUGCUUUAAAUUACAAGUCUAUGUCUUUUCAAUCCUCACUCGAUUUUCCUUCAGACAAACAGUGGACAAAGCUUUCAUCAGAAGACUCAAUGUUACUUAUAAGCAUUAUUAAUGAAGCUUGACAAAACAAUUAUGCAGAAGCUAUUAUCAUCUUUACCUUUCAUAUGACCAAAAUAAAUUACAGAUAAAUUAUUACAUGACUUGAUCAAGGUUGUACAAUGAAUUAAUGGUAGCAGCUGGAUGUGGAGACUAGCAACUUUGACACGCACACUCACGCUGAAAUUAUGUGCCCUGAAAACACCAUGACUGCCUCAGACCCACUCUGUGCUACAUGCAUUUCUGUCACAUGACUGAAGUGUUUUUAGGCUAUGAAAAUUAAAGAAAA